AACGAACGCUGGCGGCAGGCUUAACACAUGCAAGUCGAGCGCCCCGCAAGGGGAGCGGCAGACGGGUGAGUAACACGUGGGAACCUUCCUAGAGGUACGGAACAACUCAGGGAAACUUGAGCUAAUACCGUAUACGCUCUUGCGAGGAAAGAUUUAUCGCCUUUAGACGGGCCCGCGUCGGAUUAGCUAGUUGGUGGGGUAACGGCCUACCAAGGCGACGAUCCGUAGCUGAUAUGAGAGGAUGAUCAGCCACACUGGGACUGAGACACGGCCCAGACUCCUACGGGAGGCAGCAGUGGGGAAGCUUGGACAAUGGGCGCAAGCCUGAUCCAGCCAUGCCGCGUGAGUGAAGAAGGCCUUCGGGUUGUAAAGCUCUUUUGCCAGGGACGAUAAUGACGGUACCUGGAGAAUAAGCCCCGGCAAACUUCGUGCCAGCAGCCGCCGUAA
rnacentral:rRNA from 1 species